UGGGAGAUCGUCUAACGGUAGGACAGAAGCCUUUGAAGCUUUUAAUCUAGGUUCGAUUCCUAGUCUCCCAGCCA
rnacentral:tRNA from 1 species